rnacentral:tRNA from 1 species
GCCCGGGUGGCGAAACUGGCAGACGCAGAGGGCUUAAACCCCUCAGAUCCCGUAUGGGGUCGUGCGGGUUCGAACCCCGCCCCGGGCA